rnacentral:rRNA from 1 species
AAGUCGUAACAAGGUCUCCGUUGGUGAACCAGCGGAGGGAUCAUUACCGAGUUAUCAACUCCCAAACCCCAAUGUGAACAUACCCAUUGUUGCUUCGGCGGAACGCCCCGGCGCCCUCGCGGCCCGGACCCAGGCGCCCGCCGGAGGCCCCAAACUCUUGUUUCCCCAGCGGCAUCUCCUCUGAGUGGCAUAAACAAUGAAUAAAAACUUUCAACAACGGAUCUCUUGGUUCUGGCAUCGAUGAAGAACGCAGCGAAAUGCGAUAAGUAAUGUGAAUUGCAGAAUUCAGUGAAUCAUCGAAUCUUUGAACGCACAUUGCGCCCGCCAGUAUUCUGGCGGGCAUGCCUGUUCGAGCGUCAUUUCAACCCUCAGGCCCCGCCUGGCGUUGGGGAUCGGCGCGGCCCUUCCACGGGCUGCCGGCCCCGAAAACUAGUGGCGGUCUCGCUGUAGUCCUCCUCUGCGCAGUAGCAACGCUCGCACUGGAACUCGGCGCGGCCACGCCGUAAAACAACCCACUUCUGAAAGUUGACCUCGGAUCAGGUAGGAAUACCCGCUGAACUUAA